rnacentral:rRNA from 1 species
CCCGUAGGAGGCGAGCGUUGUCCGGAAUCAUUGGGCGUAAAGAGCGCGCAGGCGGCUUGGCAAGUCGGGGGUGAAAGCCCGAGGCUCAACCUCGGAACUGCCUUCGAUACUGCGGGUCUCGAGUCCGGGAGAGGUGAGUGGAAUUCCUAGUGUAGAGGUGAAAUUCGUAGAUAUUAGGAAGAACACCAGUGGCGAAGGCGGCUCACUGGCCCGGUACUGACGCUGAGGCGCGAAAGCGUGGGGAGCAAACAGG